CUCCUAUCUACUAUCUAGCGAAACCACAGCCAAGGGAACGGGCUUGGCAGAAUCAGCGGGGAAAGAAGACCCUGUUGAGCUUGACUCUAGUCUGGCUUUGUGAAGAGACAUGAGAGGUGUAGCAUAAGUGGGAGGCUCGGCCGCACGUGAAAUACCACUACUCUCAUCGUUUCUUUACUUACUCGGUUAGGCGGGAAGCGAGCGCGUGCGCGCUCACCCUUCUAGCUCCAAGCGCGGGGACUCCGCUCCCGGCGCGACCCGAUCCGAGAACAGAGCCAGGUGGGGAGUUUGACUGGGGCGGUACAUCUGCCAAAAGGUAACGCAGGUGUCCUAAGGCCAGCUCAGCGAGGACAGAAACCUUGCGUAGAGCAAAAGGGCAAAUGCUGGCUUGAUCCCGAUUUUCAGUACGAAUACGGACCGCGAAAGCGGGGCCUAUCGAUCCUUUUGUCGUUACGAGUUUUAAGCAAGAGGUGUCAGAAAAGUUACCACAGGGAUAACUCAUAUGCUUG
rnacentral:rRNA from 1 species